rnacentral:rRNA from 1 species
GAUGAACGCUGGCGGCGUGCCUAAUACAUGCAAGUCGAGCGAACAGACGAGGAGCUUGCUCCUCUGACGUUAGCGGCGGACGGGUGAGUAACACGUGGAUAACCUACCUAUAAGACUGGGAUAACUUCGGGAAACCGGAGCUAAUACCGGAUAAUAUAUUGAACCGCAUGGUUCAAUAGUGAAAGACGGUUUUGCUGUCACUUAUAGAUGGAUCCGCGCCGCAUUAGCUAGUUGGUAAGGUAACGGCGUACCAAGGCAACGAUGCGUAGACGACCUGGGAGGGUGAUCGGCCACACUGGAACUGAGACACGGUCCAGACUCCUACGGGAGGCAGCAGUAGGGAAUCUUCCGCAAUGGGCGAAAGCCUGACGGAGCGACGCCGCGUGAGUGAUGAAGGUCUUCGGAUCGUAAAACUCUGUUAUUAGGGAAGAACAAAUGUGUAAGUAACUAUGCCCGUCUUGACGGUACCUAAUCAGAAAGCCACGGCUAACUACGUGCCAGCCGCCGCCGUAA